CAAUGGUGGUGAUACUUUUAUAAAUAAUAUAUUUCUAAAUCUCUCAGAGAGAAUUAUGCAGUAGUGAUACUAUAAAGUAGUUGCAUGAUGUCAACUUAAUGUGAC